rnacentral:rRNA from 1 species
UCCGUAGGUGGAUAAUUAAGUCAGAGGUGAAAUCCUGCAGCUCAACUGUAGAAUUGCCUUUGAUACUGGUUAUCUUGAAUUAUUAUGAAGUAGUUAGAAUAUGUAGUGUAGCGGUGAAAUGCAUAGAUAUUACAUAGAAUACCAAUUGCGAAGGCAGAUUACUAACAAUAUACUGACACUGAUGGACGAAAGCGUGGGUAGCGAACAGGAUUAGAUACCCUGGUAGUCC